rnacentral:rRNA from 1 species
UACGGGGGGAGCAAGCGUUGUUCGGAUUUACUGGGCGUAAAGGGCGCGUAGGCGGUCAGUGCAAGUCAGUUGUGAAAUCUCCGGGCUUAACUCGGAAAGGUCAACUGAUACUGCUCGACUAGAGUGCGGAAGGGGCAACUGGAAUUCUUGGUGUAGCGGUGAAAUGCGUAGAUAUCAAGAGGAACACCUGCGGCGAAGGCGGGUUGCUGGGCCGACACUGACGCUGAAGCGCGAAAGCUAGGGGAGCGAACAGG